AGGCUAUGGCAAAAAAUCCUGCUAUGAACAUUCAUGUACAUUUAUCCUGUUUCACACAUGGAGAGUAUGAACAUUCGUGUACAUUUAUCCUGUUCACACAUUGAGAGUGAAAACUUUCAAUGUGUGAAACAGGAUAAAUGUACACGAAUGUUCAUAGCAGUAUUAUUUGCCAUAG
rnacentral:miRNA from 1 species